rnacentral:lncRNA from 1 species
AGACAGCAAACCAAGGGGUUGUGCUGUCUCCUUGUCUCCCAGGGAUAAACCCACAUGACAGUUUACAAAAACAGGUAAUCAUAAGAAGCAAAUGGCCCAGAUGAAACACAGCAAAAGAAUGAGAAGUGGUAACACUGGGAGUGAAAUUUGAACCAAGCGUAAAUGGAGUGAUCGUAGAAAUAGCUGACUGUGGAAUGUGGACACUCUCUGUAUCUGCAGCCUGGGAAGCUUAAAGAAGGUGAACUUACUGACACCAGUUAGAAAGUGACUGUGAUGAAACGAUGAAGAUGCUCCAGAGGAAGUGACACCAGCAAUAGGAAAAAAAAAACAAACCUCUCACUGAAGGAACUCUCGGAGAUAUUUCAUGACACAGAAGGCACAAAGGAUACAAUAUUGGCAACUAAUCGAAACUUAGAAAUGAUAUGACAGCUCACCAAGGCAUAGAAAAAGAUGCUUGCUCUAUCAUAAGUUA